UACGUAGGUGGCAAGCGUUGUCCGGAUUUACUGGGCGUAAAGGGCGUGCAGGCGGUUUGUUAAGUGCAGGGUGAAAGCUCCCGGCUCAACUGGGAGAGGUCCUUGCAUACUGGCAAACUCGAGGGAGGCAGAGGAAAGUGGAAUUCCCGGUGUAGUGGUGAUAUGCGUAGAUAUCGGGAAGAACACCCGUGGCGAAGGCGGUUCUCUGGGACGGUACUGACGCUGAGACGCGAAAGCGUGGGGAGCGAACAGG
rnacentral:rRNA from 1 species